UCUUUCUUCGUCCCUUCGUCCGGAGCUGCCUCCCCAGCACCACCAACAUGGCCUCCGACAAGCCAGAGCUACUGCCUCUUGAUGCCGCCGGCCGUCGGGAGCCCAGCAAAGAGUGGUUUUCAGAGCAGGGAAGACCAGCUCGGGAUGCAUCAGGAAUUGGAAGUUUGCUUUGAGGACCAAAAGAUGGCUCAAACUUGGCCUGCUUUGUCAUCCGCGUGCCAGGCUGACUCAAGAGCACCAAUUACCAGCCAGCUGCCUUGGACUCCUCCUCGCCAGGACCAUCUGGAGAAUCUGGCCUGCCCUGGCACUUCCCUUUCGAGCUUCUCUGCCUUUAGAGCUCCCUCUGGAGAUCAGCAUCAUGGUACCUGGGAAAGGUGCCUUCUACCCACCCCAAGUGGUCCCUCCUCAAGCUCUGGGAGCCCCUCCCUCAGGGACAGGCCCUUGGGGUCCCUGUUGCCACUCACAGAGCCCAAGGCCACCAGCACUCUCCUGCCUGGCCCUGCUGUGACCUGACCAGCGCUAUCCUUAACCACACGGUCCUUAGCGAUUCCCCCCACCCAGAGGAAC